rnacentral:rRNA from 1 species
AUGCUUAGUUUAAUAUGUCUGACAUACAUAUCACCCUAUAUAGCUAUAUGUGCCACUGCGACAGCCUCUUAUGUUAGAGCUCGAUGUUAUUUUAGGAGGUAUUUCUUCCAUUCAGUAUCCUGGAUGCCAUUCUGUCUCAGGCAGUACCCAAUAUGCUCUCUUAACAAUAUGAUUUUGAGCAAAAUUAGAAGAUCCACCUGUAACCCAACCAUGCUUCAGUUUAUUCUUGUAUUGAUGUUAUAUUCUGCCGAUAGUUUUGCAUGCUGCAUAGGUAAUUUACAAAAUGAAAAGAAGGGAGAAAAUCUAUUCCACGAACAGCACAAUGUCCAACAUAUAUCGUCAAAUCAAUCGAUGUUGCACAAUGUAGGGCAAGAAUAA